AUUGAACGCUGGCGGCGUGCUUAACACAUGCAAGUCGAUCGGUAACGCGGGGGCAACCCUGGCGACGAGAGGCGGACGGGUGAGGAACGCUUGGGAAUCUGCCUAUCAGCGGGGGACAACACGGGGAAACUCGUGCUAAUACCGCAUACGCUCUACGGAGGAAAGCCGGGGACCGCAAGGCCUGGCACUGAUAGAUGAGCCCAAGCCGGAUUAGCUAGUUGGCGGGGUAACGGCCCACCAAGGCGACGAUCCGUAGCUGGUCUGAGAGGACGAUAAGCCACACUGGGACUGAGACACGGCCCAGGCUCCUACGGGAGGCAGCAGUGGGGAAUAUUGGACAAUGGGGGAAACCCUGAUCCAGCGACGCCGCGUGGGUGAAGAAGGCCUGCGGGUUGUAAAGCCCUUUCGGUAGGGACGAAAGCUCUCGCCUAACACGUCGGGAGGUUGACUUAACCUACAAAAGAAGCACCGGCUAACUCUGUGCCAGCAGCCGCCGUAAUAC
rnacentral:rRNA from 1 species